UACGUAGGAGGCAAGCGUUUGUCCGGAAUUACUGGGCGUAAAGCGCGUGUAGGUGGUGGGACAAGUCUGCUGUGAAAGCGCCUGGCUUAACCGGGCGAAGGUCGGCGGAAACUGUUCGACUCGAGGAUGGGAGAGGAGCGCGGAAUUCCCGGUGUAGCGGUGAAAUGCGUAGAGAUCGGGAGGAAGGCCGGUGGCGAAGGCGGCGCUCUGGAACAUUUCUGACGCUGAGGCUCGGAAAGCGUGGGGAGCAAACAGG
rnacentral:rRNA from 1 species